GUAGGGAAUAUUGGGCAAUGGAGGCAACUCUGACCCAGCCAUGCCGCGUGCAGGAUGACGGCCCUCUGGGUUGUAAACUGCUUUUAUACGGGAAGAAAAAAUACUACGUGUAGUAUACUGACGGUACCGUAAGAAUAAGGAUCGGCUAACUCCGUGCCAGCAACCGCGGUAAUACGGAGGAUCCAAGCGUUGUCCGGAUUUAUUGGGUUUAAAGGGUGCGUAGGCUGAUCUUUAAGUCAGUUGUGAAAGCCUGCAGCUUAACUGUAGAAUUGCCAUUGAAACUGAAGAUCUUGAAUGUGGUUAAAGUAGGCGGAAUGUAUCAUGUAGCGGUGAAAUGCUUAGAUAUGAUACAGAACACCGAUAGCGAAGGCAGCUUGCUGAACCAUUAUUGACGCUGAGGCACGAAAGCGUGGGGAGCGAACAGGAUUAGAAACCCGGGUAGUCC
rnacentral:rRNA from 1 species